UACAGGGGGUGCAAACGUUGCUCGGAAUUAUUGGGCGUAAAGGGCUCGUAGGCGGUCUGUCGCGUCGGGAGUGAAAACUCAGGGCUUAACCCUGAGCCUGCUUCCGAUACGGGCAGACUAGAGGUAUGCAGGGGAGAACGGAAUUCCUGGUGUAGCGGUGAAAUGCGCAGAUAUCAGGAGGAACACCGGUGGCGAAGGCGGUUCUCUGGGCAUUACCUGACGCUGAGGAGCGAAAGUGUGGGGAGCGAACAGG
rnacentral:rRNA from 1 species